UCAAAUACGUUGAUUACCGAAUUGACGCGUGUCGCAUCCGUCGUAUACGCGUACAUGUAUGCAAAAACCCAGACUUUCGGGACGCCUCAAGCCGCCACGGGCAUGCAGUCGCAGCCGCAACUCAUCCGUCCCGGAGGAUUGUUUACGCACAAAAAGAUGGCGGGGUUCCUGCAGGACGCUGAAGGUUCAGACUUACACGACAUGAGUUCGGUAAUCGAGGGUUUUCAUAAGAAGAACAGCGUCGGGUCCAUGGGAUCGGCGACGGCGAUGACCACGGCUGCCGGCAACCAUAUGGCGUCGUCGAAGAAGAACACGUCAUCGUCAUCUUCAAGUUCUAGGACGAUGGAGUCGUCGUCGUCCACGUCAUCUUCGUCAUCCUCCUCUCAACACGUCCUGCACCGACAGGUGUCUGAAAUGACGACCACGUCAUCCGAACUACAAAAUUCUCAGCUGCUCCAACAGCGGAUACUCAUGGACAGCGGUGACGUUACCGCGGUUAACUCCGCGGUCACCGAGGACGUUGACUGCUGCAACCCUGCCGACGGGGCAGACCCGUUGGUCACGUUUCCCGAGUCGCCUCCCGUUUUGGUGUCCAAAGUGUCGCCUCUCCUCAACGCGUCCGCCACCCGCCCCAAACCAGUCCGCGUGGCCGUGCAGGACGUACGACUGAAACACCCGACCGCGGCCACCACAGCGGCGACCACCGAGCGGCGCGUGUCCACAUCUAAAUUGGUCCAAGAGGCGUACGAGUCGUCGUCGUCGUCAAGCAGCACCAGCAGCACGGUCUCCGACUCGCAGGAGGUGCUGCAUGGUGACGUCCGCAAGCUACACGCGGCCAACGCCCUCCGAGCCAGGCUCGCUGGUACCAUCGGGAGCACCAUUGCCAACCGCGAAACCGAGACCGCUCUGAACAAAAUCCAGGAAAAAAGAACGCUGCAGAAAACUGGAGGACUAUCUCAACAAGAAAACCUGCCAAGCAUUAGCGCUGCCACGAUGAAAGUGCAGACCGAUUCGUUUAGUUCGGAAAAGAAAGCUACGAGUGAACAACAAAGACAGACAAUAAUGUCCUCAGGAAUGUUUAACCAAGGAAAACAUAUUGCUCAGUCAUCAAAAUCGAACUUUACGUUCACCAAAAAAGGCAUUUGCACGAGUUCAACAGCCGUGUCAUCCGCCACUUCACAAUCUUCUCACAACGGGUCUGCUUCUGGUGGCAGUGGUUCGUCACCACCAUCGACGCAUGUGAUCAGGAGUGUCGACGAUCUGUUAAACACAAACUUCGAUGACCUAGACCAGAUGCGAGAGAUCGCGAACACUCAAGACGUGGAGAACGCCAUUAAAAAAUAUUCACUGUACCUGGAGAACGCCGUCAAAGGACUGAUGAGCGGAAAGUACGCCGACGCCAAAGGCCCGAUAAUGCUUAACAAAAUGUUCGAUAUGAUUUGCAAGGCGUGGGCAGUGCCGACAUACGAGCUUGGUUAUGCGUUGUGUAACACAUUCCGGGACUGCGGUGGAAUGGAUUUGUUGAUCAACAACUGCGUGUCCAAAGACCAAAAACUUCAGUUCUCCAGUGCUAGGUUACUGGAACAAUGCCUGACCACAGAAAAUCGCUCCUAUGUAGUGGAAAAUGGACUGGAAAAGGUCGUACACGUAGUGUGCGCGUACAAGAGCCAAGUGAGCUCGGCCGAUCAAUCUAAAGUCAGUACUGGAAUUCUCGAGCAUCUAUUUAAACACAGUGAAAUGACAUGUAGCGAUGUUAUCAAGCUCGGUGGCUUGGACGUAUUUCUGUACGAGUGCCGUAGACGAGACAUCGCGACCCUGAGACACUGUGCCGGUGCUCUGGCCAACUUGUCGCUGUACGGAGGUGCCGAGAACCAAGAGCUGAUGAUCAAGCGCAACGUACCCACGUGGCUGUUCACGUUAGCCUUCAACACGGACGACAAUAUCAAGUAUUACGCGUUCUUGGCCAUAGCCGUUUUGGUGGCCAACAAAGAAAUCGAGGCGGCCGUGCUCAAGUCCGAAACCCUGGAUCUGAUCGACCCGUUCGUCACCACCCACACGCCGUCAGAGUUCGCCAAGUCCAACCUGGCCCACGCCCACGGCCAGAGCCACCAUUGGCUGGAGAGGUUGGUGCCGGUGUUGAGCUCAAUCCGGGAGGAAGCGUGCAAUUUGGCCGCCUUCCACUUCUGCAUGGAGGCCGGCAUCAAGAAGCAACAGGGCAAGACCAGUAUAUUCAGCGUGAUCAACGCCGUCGAACCUCUGAAGAAGGUGGCCAGUUGCCCCAACGCAAUAGCGUCAAAGUUCGCAGCACAAGCAUUGCGGCUGAUCGGUGAAGAGGUUCCGCACAAGCUCAGCCAAAAAGUACCACUGUGGUCACCCGAGGACGUCCGCGAAUGGGUCAGACAAAUCGGUUUCAGUGAGUGCUCCAAAAACUUCGUGGACAGCCGAGUGGAUGGUGACCUGCUGUUACAGCUGACCGAGCAAAAUCUCAGGGACGACAUCGGAAUACUCAACGGAAUCAUGCGAAGGAGGUUUAUGAGGGAAAUACACAAUUUGAAACGAUUGGCGGACUACAGUAGUAGAGACACGACAAAUCUGAACUCGUUCCUUCAGUCCAUAGGUUCGGAGUUCUCUGUGUACACUUAUUCCAUGUUGAAUGCUGGCGUCGAUAGAGAUUCCAUUAGAUUCUUAUCAGAAGAACAACUCGUACAAGAGUGUGGAAUAUCAAACAGCAUUCACCGGUAUAGAAUACUAGACUCGAUAAGAGACAUGGAGACGCUAAUGGAUACAUCCUCUUAUGAAGAAAACAUGAACAAACACUUGGACGUUUUUAUUAGUUACAGACGAUCGACUGGAUCUCAACUUGCGAGUUUGCUCAAAGUACAUCUACAACUUCGAGGAUACUCAGUGUUCAUCGACGUGGAACGUCUGGAAGCCGGCAAGUUCGACAACAACCUGUUGCAGAGCAUCAAGCAGGCGAAAAACUUCAUAUUAGUGUUGACGCCGAAGUCAUUAGACAGAUGUAUCGGCGAUAACGAAUGCAAAGACUGGGUGCACAAGGAAAUCGUGGCUGCUAUACAGGACCAAUGCAAUAUCAUCCCGAUCAUGGACAACUUCGCGUGGCCCGAACCGGAAACGUUGCCGGAAGACAUGCAAAACGUGUGGAAGUUCAACGGCGUACGGUGGAUACACGACUAUCAGGACGCGUGCGUGGAGAAAGUGGAGCGGUUCAUGCGGGGCGAGCUGAGCGGGAUCCGGGACGGCGCCAGUUCGGGGCUGUCCCUAAACCGGUCUGGCGGCGGCGGCAUUGGCCCGUCGACCAUCAAGAGCGACCCGUCGGCGCCGAACACGCCGAUGACCGUGGGCAGGUCGCCGCCAACGUACCAGCGGACUCAGUCCAACGACAGUGAACGGGACCUGACCGGUAGCAAAGAUUGACUAGCGGGGAACACUUCCAGGUAUGGGACAGUGGCCGAUGUUUUGCUUUCCCACCCGAACCGGUUGCUACGUUUUGUGUCCGUCCGCUUGUUGUUGUCGUCCGUCCUGCAGCGGCCUCCAAGACUUCAUGGUUAGAUACCGGAAGUGUUCGAGAUUACCUGCUUGGAGGCCACCAAUGAGUCCAAAUGGUCGGGGAAAGAGUCGGAAACGAGCCAAAAGCGUGGAAGGUC